rnacentral:rRNA from 1 species
UACGGAGGGUGCAAGCGUUAUCCGGAUUCACUGGGUUUAAAGGGUGCGUAGGUGGGUUGGUAAGUCAGUGGUGAAAUCCCCGAGCUUAACUUGGGAACUGCCAUUGAUACUAUUAGUCUUGAAUACUGUGGAGGUUAGCGGAAUAUGUCAUGUAGCGGUGAAAUGCUUAGAUAUGACAUAGAACACCAAUUGCGAAGGCAGCUGGCUACACAAAUAUUGACACUGAGGCUCGAAAGCGUGGGGAUCAAACAGG